rnacentral:rRNA from 1 species
GUGAGGAAUAUUGGUCAAUGGGCGGGAGCCUGAACCAGCCAAGUCGCGUGAAGGAAGAAGGAUCUAUGGUUCGUAAACUUCUUUUGCAGGGGAAUAAAGUGCAGGACGUGUCCUGUUUUGUAUGUACCCUGAGAAUAAGGAUCGGCUAACUCCGUGCCAGCAGCCGCGGUAAUACGGAGGAUCCGAGAGUUAUCCGGAUUUAUUGGGUUUAAAGGGUUCGUAGGUGGUUUGAUAAGUCAGCGGUGAAAGUUUGCAGCUUAACUGUAAAAUUGCCGUUGAAACUGUCGGUCUUGAGUGCAAAUGAGGUAGGCGGAAUGUGUUGUGUAGCGGUGAAAUGCUUAGAUAUAACACAGAACUCCGAUUGCGAAGGCAGCUUACUGGGAUGCAACUGACACUGAUGCACGAAAGCGUGGGUAUCAAACAGGAUUAGAAACCCGAGUAGUCC